UGUUUACUGACUUUAUUGCCCCACAGUUGUUCUCAUCUCACUCUCAAUCAACUAUAUAUAUUAGCAGCAUGCCAAGUUGUUCCCAUCUCACUCUCAAUCAACUGUAUAUUAGCAUGCCAACUCUUCUGACUUGGUACAAAACCAGAGACCACAAGUCAUCAUGGAUGGGGAGGAGAUGCAGCAACAUCUGACUUGCAAGCAUCCUCAUCCUCCUGUUGGGAGAUGGCAAUUCCAUUCAAACAAGCAAAGCCACAGCUCUCAUGCCCUGAGCACAACCUGGUUGAUGAUCUGUUAUCUUCUCUCACUGGCCUCUUUGCCUCCCCUGCAGCUGCAAUGUCUCAUGUGUGACACCUAACACAGCAGCUGGCUGCCUCCAGUUUAAUCCACAGCACCUCCUCAGUGCACAUACCAAACACAAAAUUAGUAGCUCACAUGCCAAGUUCUGUAGGUUGCUUGACAUUCUUGCUCAACAUUCUGUGUUUUAAUUAUAGAUGACAUUAACAUAUAUUAAUGCCUGAUGAAUGAUCUUAUGUUAUCUGUAUCACAGAGAAUAUGUGAGUUGGCCACAUGCCCUUUAUAUCACAGGAUAUAAUGAGGAAAUGAAGUGAUUGACUCAGAAAACCAUGAGUGUUUCCAAUGCUUUCCUUUUUCCCUCUUCUCCUGACACCACAAGGAACGCCGAGAGUAAUUUAAAGCUUGGUUGAGAUAUGGUGGAUUUUAUCUACCUGACAAAAUCAAUCAUUAAGAUGUUGUAGGUGUGGAUGAUCAGCAUGUAGUAUUUAAAAUGUGAUUGUUGACUUUUUCAAGUCAAAAUGUAUUACUGGAUUCACCAAUGAGAUGUCAUGUGGCACAUUUAGAUU
rnacentral:lncRNA from 1 species